rnacentral:lncRNA from 1 species
CAUUCAUCGGACACGUUGUCCAAAAGAACAAUUCGUGGCUAACCACAGCGUGAGUUACAUUUAAAGCAUUACAAAUCAUGUCUUUACAUUAGCGAUGAACUGUUUUAAUAUAUUUCUCUAUGUUAUAAAGAAACUAUGAACUUUUACCGUUUAAACUGUUCGUAUCUGCGAUUGCACGAUUUAAUUCAAGACAGAACCCGACGUGUGCAAGAAUAUUCAUAUUUUUAUUAUUAUAAAGAACUUUAACAGCUUUAUAUAUCUACGAACUGUUUAUCCGUAUUUUUAACGGACUUUAAUUAUCAUUGAACACAUUGUAAAAUCGUAUUUAUAUUUGUAUUUUCAGUUUUUCACCAUUUGGAUUGGUAGUGAAAUAAAAGUCAGCUCCUGAUUGUUUUAUCUUUACCGAAACCCAGUCGUCUUGGUUACACUCACUGGUCAGGCCAGUACAACACCAAAUACGAUAGACAUUUUGCUUAUAGUAUCAAGUCCAAUUCUCAGAGAAUCACAUGUUUAUGAGUGAAAUGCUUUGCCAUCUUCUUCUACCAUGCCUACUAUGUAUAGCUGGUCACAUCAUAUUCGGUGAUCUUAUACAAUUAUACUUUUUUUAUCCGUCAAUUUUGCCUCAUUUUCCGAAUCUUGAGUCGUCGAUCUCAUCACUCCUUCUACUUCCAUAUUCUG